GAUGAACGCUGGCGGCGUGCCUAAUACAUGCAAGUCGAGCGAACAGACGAGGAGCUUGCUCCUCUGACGUUAGCGGCGGACGGGUGAGUAACACGUGGAUAACCUACCUAUAAGACUGGGAUAACUUCGGGAAACCGGAGCUAAUACCGGAUAAAAUAUUGAACCGCAUGGUUCAAUAGUGAAAGACGGUUUUGCUGUCACUUAUAGAUGGAUCCGCGCCGCAUUAGCUAGUUGGUAAGGUAACGGCUUACCAAGGCAACGAUGCGUAGCCGACCUGAGAGGGUGAUCGGCCACCCUGGAACUGAGACACGGUCCAGACUCCUACGGGAGGCAGCAGUAGGGAAUCUUCCGCAAUGGGCGAAAGCCUGACGGAGCAACGCCGCGUGAGUGAUGAAGGUCUUCGGAUCGUAAAACUCUGUUAUUAGGGAAGAACAAAUGUGUAAGUAACUAUGCACGUCUUGACGGUACCUAAUCAGAAAGCCACGGCUAACUACGUG
rnacentral:rRNA from 1 species